rnacentral:rRNA from 1 species
GACGAACGCUGGCGGCGUGCUUAACACAUGCAAGUCGAGCGGUAAGGCUCCUUCGGGAGUACGCGAGCGGCGAACGGGUGAGUAACACGUGAGCAAUCUGCCCUUCACUUUGGGAUAACUCCGGGAAACCGGUGCUAAUACCGAAUGCGACCACUUCAGGCAUCUGACGGUGGUGGAAAGUUCCGGCGGUGAAGGAUGAGCUCGCGGCCUAUCAGCUUGUUGGUGAGGUAAUGGCUCACCAAGGCUUCGACGGGUAGCCGGCCUGAGAGGGUGACCGGCCACACUGGGACUGAGACACGGCCCAGACUCCUACGGGAGGCAGCAGUGGGGAAUAUUGGACAAUGGGCGAAAGCCUGAUCCAGCAACGCCGCGUGAGGGAUGACGGCC